GACGAACGCUGGCGGCGUGCCUAAUACAUGCAAGUAGAACGCAGUUGCGAACGGGUGAGUAACGCGUAGGUAACUGCCUCAUAGCGGGGGAUAACUAUUGGAAACGAUAGCUAAUACCGCAUACUGUGAGAUGGACCUGCGUUGUAUUAGCUAGUUGGUGAGGUAAAGGCCCACCAAGGCGACGAUACAUAGCCGACCUGAGAGGGUUGACUGCCAAACGGGGAAUGAGAAACGGGCCAGAAUCCUUAGGGAGGGAGCAGUAGGGAAGCUUGGGGAAUGGACGGAAGUCUGAACGAGCAACGGCGGGGGAGUGAAGAAGGUUUUCGGAUCGGAAAGCUCUGUUGUUAGAGAAACGGUAACUAACCAGAAAGGGACGGCUAACUACGUGCCAGCAGCCGCGGUAAUUC
rnacentral:rRNA from 1 species